GACGAACGCUGGCGGCGUGCCUAAUACAUGCAAGUCGAGCGGACGAUUCGAAAGCUUGCUUUUGAAUCGUUAGCGGCGGACGGGUGAGUAACACGUGGGCAACCGGCCCUGUAGACGGAGAUACCACCGAGAAAUCGGUGCUAAUACCGGAUAACACGAAAUGUCGCAUGACGUUUCGUUGAAAGGCGGCGCAAGCUACCGCUACAGGGUGGGCCCGCGGGGCAUUAGCUAGUUGGUGAGGUAACGGCCCACCAAGGCGACGAGGCGUAGCCGACCUUCAAGGGGGAUCGGCCACACUGGGAAUGAGACACGGCCCAGACUCCUACGGGAGGCAGCAGUAGGGAAUCUUCCGCAAUGGACGAAAGUCUGACGGAGCAACGGCGCGUGGUCGAAGAAGGCUCUCGGGUCGUAAAGCUCUGUUGUUAGGGAAGAACAAGUAACGUAGUAACUGACGUUACUAUGACGGUACCUAACGAGAAAGCCACGGCUAACUACGUG
rnacentral:rRNA from 1 species